rnacentral:rRNA from 1 species
UUGAACGCUGGCGGCAUGCUUUACACAUGCAAGUCGAACGGCAGCGGGGGCUUCGGCCUGCCGGCGAGUGGCGAACGGGUGAGUAAUGCAUCGGAACGUACCCAGUCGUGGGGGAUAACUACGCGAAAGCGUAGCUAAUACCGCAUACGCCCUGAGGGGGAAAGCAGGGGAUCUUCGGACCUUGUGCGAAUGGAGCGGCCGAUGUCAGAUUAGCUAGUUGGUGGGGUAAAGGCCCACCAAGGCGACGAUCUGUAGCGGGUCUGAGAGGAUGAUCCGCCACACUGGGACUGAGACACGGCCCAGACUCCUACGGGAGGCAGCAGUGGGGAAUUUUGGACAAUGGGCGCAAGCCUGAUCCAGCCAUGCCGCGUGCGGGACGAAGGCCUUCGGGUUGUAAACCGCUUUCAGCCGGAAAGAAAUCGUCAAGGCUAAUAUCCUUGAUGGAUGACGGUACCGGAAGAAGAAGCACCGGCUAACUACGU